rnacentral:rRNA from 1 species
AACGAACGCUGGCGGCAUGCCUAACACAUGCAAGUCGAACGAGACCUUCGGGUCUAGUGGCGCACGGGUGCGUAACGCGCGGGAAUCUGCCCUUGGGUUCGGAAUAACAGUUAGAAAUGACUGCUAAUACCGGAUGAUGACGUAAGUCAAAAGAUUUAUCGCCCAAGGAUGAGCCCGCGUAGGAUUAGCUGGUUGGUGAGGUAAAAGCUCACCAAGGCGACGAUCCUUAGCUGGUCUGAGAGGAUGGUCAGCCACACUGGGACUGAGACACGGCCCAGGAUCCUACGGGAGGCAGCAGUGGGGAAUAUUGGACAAUGGGCGAGAGCCUGAUCCAGCAAUGCCCCGUGAGUGAUGAAGGCCUUAGGGUUGUAAAGCUCUUUUACCCGGGAUGAUAAUGACAGUACCGGGAGAAUAAGCCCCGGCUAACUCCGUGCCAGCAGCCGCGGUAAGAC